rnacentral:rRNA from 1 species
GGUCUUACCUGCCCAGUGAUCUCUUUAAACGGCCGCGGUAUCCUAACCGUGCAAAGGUAGCAUAAUCAUUUGUUCCUUAAAUAGGGACUAGAAUGAACGGUUAAAUGAGGACUAAACUGUCUCUUAUACUAAACCAAUAAACUUGAUCUUUCAGUCCAAAAGCUGAAAUAAUACCAUAAGACGAGAAGACCCUGUGGAGCUUUUAAACCAACCUACAAACCUCGUGUAUCCCAAGGUUUUUAGUUGGGGCGACUUUGGAGAACAAUAAACCCUCCAACCACGGAACCUUGUUUCUAGACACACACGUCAACAAACCCUAUCCAGACCCAAUAAUUUAACCAAAUUAUCUGAUCCAUGAACCAAGUUACCCCAGGGAUAACAGCGCUAUCUUCUUCUAGAGUUCCUAUCGACAAGAAGGUUUACGACCUCGAUGUUGGAUCAGGACACCCCUAUAGUGCAACCGCUAUAAAAGGUUCGUUUGUUCAACGAUUAAAGUCCUA